rnacentral:rRNA from 1 species
UACGGGGGGAGCAAGCGUUGUUCGGAUUUACUGGGCGUAAAGGGCGCGUAGGCGGUCAGCACAAGUCAGUUGUGAAAUCUCCGGGCUUAACUCGGAAAGGUCAACUGAUACUGUGCGACUAGAGUGCAGAAGGGGCAACUGGAAUUCUCGGUGUAGCGGUGAAAUGCGUAGAUAUCGAGAGGAACACCUGCGGCGAAGGCGGGUUGCUGGGCUGACACUGACGCUGAGGCGCGAAAGCCAGGGGAGCGGACGGG